GCAGUCGGACGGCAGCAUGAUGUGUAGCAAUACACAUUGAUGGCGAGUGGCGGACGGGUGAGAAACGCGUAGGAAUCUCGCCUUAUAGAGGGGGACAACUAGAGGAAACUCUAGCUAAUACCGCAUAAAGUCUACGGACCAAAUGCUGGGUAGCAAUACCUGGCGCUAUGAGAGGAGCCUGCGUCCGAUUAGCUAGUUGGUAGGGUAAAGGCCUACCAAGGCGAUGAUCGGUAGCUGGUCUGAGAGGAUGAUCAGCCACACUGGGACUGAGACACGGCCCAGACUCCUACGGGAGGCAGCAGUGGGGAAUAUUGGACAAUGGGGGCAACCCUGAUCCAGCAAUACCGCGUGUGUGAAGAAGGCCUUCGGGUUGUAAGGCACUUUAGGUUGGGAAGAAGGUGUAUUGUUUAAGAGAUGAUACAUUUGACUGUACCGACAGAAUAAGCACCGGCUAACUCUGUGCCAGCAGCCGCGGUAAUACAGAGGGUGCAAGCGUUAAUCGGAGUUACUGGGCGUAAAGGGCGCGUAGGCGGUCUAUUAAGUGAGAUGUGAAAGCCCUGGGCUUAACCUAGGAACUGCAUCUUAUACUGGUAGACUGGAGUACUGUAGAGGGUAGU
rnacentral:rRNA from 1 species